rnacentral:rRNA from 1 species
AUUGAACGCUGGCGGCAGGCUUAACACAUGCAAGUCGAGCGGGGUGAUGGUGCUUGCACUAUCACUUAGCGGCGGACGGGUGAGUAAUGCUUAGGAAUCUGCCUAUUAGUGGGGGACAACAUCUCGAAAGGGAUGCUAAUACCGCAUACGUCCUACGGGAGAAAGCAGGGGAUCACUUGUGACCUUGCGCUAAUAGAUGAGCCUAAGUCGGCUUAGCUAGUUGGUGGGGUAAAGGCCUACCAAGGCGACGAUCUGUAGAGGGUCUGAGAGGAGUGACAGCCACACUGGGACUGGGACACGACCCAGACUCCUACGGGAGGCAGCAGUGGGGAAUAUUGGACAAUGGGGGGAGCGCUGAUCCAGCCAUGCCGCGUGUGUGAAGAAGGCCUUAUGGUUGUAAAGCACUUUAAGCGAGGAGGAGGCUCUUUUGGUUAAUACCCAAGAUGAGUGGACGUUACUCGAAGAAUAAGCACCGGCUAACUCUGUGCCAGCCGCCGCCGUAA